rnacentral:rRNA from 1 species
GACGAACGCUGGCGGCGUGCCUAAUACAUGCAAGUCGAACGCAGUGGGGACGGGUGCGUAACACGUGGGUAACCUCCCAUCAGAGGGGAGAACACUUGGAAACAGGUGCCUAACUGCUACUGAUGGAUGGACCCGCGGUGCAUUAGCCGGUUGGUGAGGUAACGGCGCACCAAGGCCACGAUGCAUAGCCGGCCUGAGAGGGUGAUCAGCCACACUGGGACUGAGACACGGCCCAGACUCCUACGGGAGGCAGCAGUGGGGAAUCUUCGGCAAGGGACGAAAGUCUGACCGAGCAACGCCGCGUGAAUGAAGAAGGUUUUCGGAUCGUAAAACUCUGUUGUUAGAGAAGCGGUAUCUAACCAGAAAGCCACGGCUAACUACGUGCCAGCAGCCGCGGUAAUAC